AACGAACGCUGGCGGCAUGCCUAACACAUGCAAGUCGAACGAGCCCUUCGGGUCUUGUGGCGCACGGGUGCGUAACGCGUGGGAACCUGCCCUUAGGUUCGGCAUAACUCCCCGACAGGGGUGCUAAUACCGGAUAAUGUCUUCGGACCAAAGAUUUAUCGCCUUUGGAUGGGCCAGAGUUGGAUUCGCUAGUUGGUAGGGUAAAAGCCUACCACGGCGACGAUCCAUAGCUGGGCAGAGAGGAUGGUCAGCCACACUGGGACUGAGACACGGCCCAGACUCCUACGGGAGGCAGCAGUGGUGAAUAUUGGACAAUGGGCGAAAGCCUGAUCCAGCAAUGCCGCGUGAGUGAUGAAGGCCUUAGGGUUGUAAAGCGCUUUUACCCGGGAUGAUAAUGACAGUACCGGGAGAAUAAGCUCCGGCUAACUCCGUG
rnacentral:rRNA from 1 species